rnacentral:rRNA from 1 species
UUUUCCUACGGGACGCAGCAGUGAGGAAUAUUGGUCAAUGGCCGGAAGGCUGAACCAGCCAAGUCGCGUGAGGGACGACUGCCCUAUGGGUUGUAAACCUCUUUUAUAAGGGAAGAAUAAAUGCUACGUGUAGCAUGAUGCCUGUACCUUAUGAAUAAGCAUCGGCUAACUCCGUGCCAGCAGCCGCGGUAAUACGGAGGAUGCGAGCGUUAUCCGGAUUUAUUGGGUUUAACGGGUGCGCAGGCGGUUUUUUUAGUUAGUGGUUAAACGUCGGGGCUUCACCUUGAUU